CGCUAAUCGAGGGAGGACGUAUCGCUCGCUGUUGCGCCGCGCAAACUCGCCGGAGCUCGAAAAAUAUAGCGCAACCUGCGCAACGAACUCGUUUUGAUACUAGAUAAUGAAAGCAUAUUUAAUUCAGAUUAUCAGACUCAAUCGGAUACCAGUACAAAUAAUAUGGAAAAUGAAGAUACAAUACAUGGAAGACGAAUUAUAGAUUUUAGUUUUUUUAUAAAUCAAUUACUUAUACCUAAUUGAUAAACAUGGUGAAAAGUUUGGUUGUCGAUUAAAUAAUUUAAAAAUUGUAAACGA
rnacentral:lncRNA from 1 species